rfam:Dipodomys ordii contig_87445, whole genome shotgun sequence.
GGGAAUGUGGCUUAGUAAUAGAGUGCUUGCCUUCCAUGCAUGAAGUCCUGGGUUCGAUUCCUCAGUACCA